rnacentral:lncRNA from 1 species
GCUACAGAAAUAAAAUAAUAAUCUUUUAAAUCUAAUCUAAAUCCUAACAGUAAUCGAAGAGGAUAAGUACCAAUGGCUUCUGCAGUAACUUUUACUCCAUUAUCGAAUUGAAGGAUCAUGUCACCUUCCCUCAACCUCCUACUUUCUAUUAGACUUUGCAUUGAGGUACAUAUAUGAGCACUCGAAUCAGAGUCUAAUACCCAACUAGAAGUAGAAGAAAUCAUAAGAUUAGAUUCAAUUAUAAGUAUACCUUCUGAAGAUUUAUCACCCUUU